UAUCAUCCUGUGAAUAAAAGCCCGGAUAAGAAAAUAAUCACAAUGUACAUAGCACGCAGUAAAUGAGUUGUGAGAGAGAGAGAUUGAUUUCUGUUUAUCUUCUUUCAUAUUGUCACAACAGUGAAAAACACACAUCGAUCCCCAGGAAACAAUUAAUAAGUGCUUAUAAUAAAACAGUGAGGGUUUUCUAACGAAAUGUUUAAUGUUUGAGGAAGACAUAAAUGUUUUACAUAGCACUGGCAAUGAUUGGGAUUAAGGAUUAACGGAAGUAAAAUAAAAAUAAGUAAUCUUGUCGUCGUGUCACGUACUAUAUUCGAGAUCCCACAAGAUGAAUCAAGAAUAGCCAUCGUAUUCUCACCGUUCCCUAUACAACCACUUGAAAUGUCUUCCUCGCUUGGCAGCUGGUACGUGUGAUGGUUCCUUGCGGCAUAUAUCGUUGGAUGAUCUUUUAAGGAAGGAUUCAGGUAGACCCUGUUCAGGUUUACACCUCUCGUAUCCAUUCGGUAAU